rfam:Triticum aestivum genome assembly, contig: Triticum_aestivum_CS42_TGACv1_scaffold_146024_2BS
CUCCUACUCCCUCCGUCCGGAAAUACUUGUCAUCAAAAUGAAUAAAAGGAAUAAAAGGAGAUGUAUGUAGAUGUAUUUUAGUUGAUACAUCUCUUUUUGUCCAUCUUGAUGACAAAUAUUUUCGGACGGAGGGAGUACAAG